CUUUCUGAGGGAGAAAAGGAGGAAGGAUAAGACUGUUGGCCUGGAAAUUACAGAGGUCCAACUGGUAAAGCAGACCCUGUAAUGGUGAAGAUUAAGGAAGGAGUUGGAGUCCCAUUACUGGCAGGGAAAUGGAGUACCUUGUUGAGUGAAGGAUCAGUUGGACAAGUAAGGAAACUGAGGCAUGGAAGGCAAAGGAGUUUGUCAUAUUCAUGCGGUGAAAAAAAAAGAUAACUUUAUUUAUCAGAAAGCACCAGCAGUCCUGUCACUGGAUCAUUCCUUGUUUAAUCAGAAGGCUUUCCAUGCUGAUACUGCAAUCAUUCAUUCUUUGGAUUCCUUUCCACAUUCCAAGAAGUAUCUUCAUUAUUAAUCAUAUAGAUCCAAUGUAUACUCCAUGAGGUAAAAGAGACAGAGAAGGACUCUUACAUUCUGAUGUAGUUUCUUCCACCAGUUUCUCUUCCAAGAUGUAAUGUCUGGAGAACAGCAGGCAGAGGGAGGUGACAUCAGAAG